AAAUGAAUGGGUCGUCUAUCGAUC
rnacentral:siRNA from 1 species